rnacentral:rRNA from 1 species
CCUACGGGUGGCAGCAGUGGGGAAUAUUGCACAAUGGGGGAAACCCUGAUGCAGCAACGCCGCGUGAAUGAUGAAGGCCUUCGGGUUGUAAAGCUCUGUCUUCAGGGACGAUAAUUACGGUACCUGAGGAAUAAGCCGCGGCUAACUACGUGCCAGCAGCCGCGGUAAUACGUAGGGGGCGAGCGUUGUCCGGAUUUACUGGGCGUAAAGAGGGCGUAGGCGGGAUUUUAAGUCAGAUGUGAAAUACUUGGGCUCAACCGGAGGGCUGCAUUUGAAACUGGAAGUCUAGAGUGCAGGAGAGGAGAAUGGAAUUCCUAGUGUAGCGGUGAAAUGCGUAGAGAUUAGGAAGAACACCAGUGGCGAAGGCGACUUUCUGGACUGGAACUGACGCUGAGGCUCGAAAGCGUGGGGAGCAAACAGGAUUAGAUACCCGUGUAGUC